rnacentral:lncRNA from 1 species
GAGAAAAAGGAAAAAAAACCUUUAUUCCCUGCUCUGUGAUAAGAAGAUGUUGCAAUCUCGAUGGGUUAGCCUCUAGGAUCUAUCAGGCUCAUCAUCCAUGACCGGAAGUGGCAUCGAUAUGAUGGAUCAUCAUCUCAUAAAAAAAUAAAUACAAAAACUGAAAAGGUUUUAGGGUUGAAUCAGCAUGGAUAGAGAUGGGGUUACGAGAAUUCCUCUAAUAAAUCAUUUUCAGAUCAUGACUUGCUGUUUCUCUCUCUAGAUUCUCCCCCAUUCCAUGGCGAUGGAGAUCAAAGAAUGAG